rnacentral:lncRNA from 1 species
AACCCUAAUGCUGACUGAAUGGAAAAAGUUCAGUUUAGGGUUUAAAACCCUAAUGCUGACUAAAGGGAAAAAGUUCAGUUUAGGGUUUAAAACCCUAAUCCUGAUUAGAGGGAAAAGUUCAGUUUAGGGUUUAAAACCCUAAUGCUGACUAAAGGAAAAGAGUUCAGUUUAGGGUUUAAAACCCUAAUGCUGACUGAAGGGGAGAGUUCAGUUUAGGGUUUAAAACUCUAAUGCUGACUAAAGGAAAGAGUUCAGUUUAGGGUUUAAAACCCUAAUGUUGACUGAAUGGAAAGAGUUCAGUUUAGGGUUUAAAACCCUAAUGCUGACUGAAUGGAAAGAGUUCAGUUUAGGGUUUAAAACCCUAAUGCUGACUGAAUGGAAAAAGUUCAGUUUAGGGUUUAAAACCCUAAUCCCGACUAAAGGGAAAAGUUCAGUUUAGGGUUUAAAACCCUAAUCCUGAUUAAAGGGAAAGAGUUCAGUUUAGGGUUUAAAACCCUAAUGCUGACUGAAGGGGAGAGUUCAGUUUAGGGUUUAAAACCCUAAUGUUGACUGAAUGGAAAGAGUUUAGUUUAGGGUUUAAAACCCUAAUGCUGACUGAAUGGAAAGAGUUCAGUUUAGGGUUUAAAACCCUAAUGCUGACUGAAUAGAAAGAGUUCAGUUUAGGGUUUUAAACCCUAAUGCUGACUAACUGGAUAAAGUUCAGUUUAGGGCUUAAAACCCUAAUGCUGAUUAAAGAGAAAAGUUUAGUUUAAGGUUUAAAACCCUAAUGCUGACUG